rnacentral:rRNA from 1 species
AGUGAACGCUGGCGGUAGGCCUAACACAUGCAAGUCGAACGGCAACACAGUAAGAGCUUGCUCUUACGGGUGGCGAGUGGCGGACGGGUGAGGAAUACAUCGGAAUCUACUUUUUCGUGGGGGAUUACGUAGGGAAACUUACGCUAAUACCGCAUACGACCUACGGGUGAAAGCAGGGGAUCUUCGGACCUUGCGCGAUUGAAUGAGCCGAUGUCGGAUUAGCUAGUUGGCGGGGUAAAGGCCCACCAAGGCGACGAUCCGUAGCUGGUCUGAGAGGAUGAUCAGCCACACUGGAACUGAGACACGGUCCAGACUCCUACGGGAGGCAGCAGUGGGGAAUAUUGGACAAAGGGCGCAAGCCUGAUCCAGCCAUACCGCGUGGGUGAAGAAGGCCUUCGGGUUGUAAAGCCCUUUUGUUGGGAAAGAAAAGCAGCAGGUUAAUACCCCGCUGUUCUGACGGUACCCAAAGAAUAAGCACCGGCUAACUUCGUG